GCCCGGCUAGCUCAGUCGGUAGAGCAUGAGACUCUUAAUCUCAGGGUUUGUGCCCCACGUUGGGCG
rnacentral:tRNA from 1 species